CCCUCCUCCCUCAACAUCUACCUGGCUCCAUGAUGUCUGCUGGUUCUCAGGGUCAUGGUAGUCUGAACCCUUGACCAGGGUGUAGAAGGUCUCUUUUUUGGAGCAAGGGCCUGGCGGUCCUCAGCCUCUCCAAUGUCCUCAGGGCCCUCCUGGCUUGAGAGCUCUACUUCCUUCAGUGGCUGAGACCCUAUUGAGCUCCUGGGUUGGGUUUUUAUGCUCCCUGCCCCACCCCUUGGCCUCUGUGGAAUUAAAGGGCUCAGCCCACCUGGGCUCAGAGGAGUUUUUCCCCUUUGGGUGAAUCGUCUAAUAACUGGGCUAGAAGUUAUGUGUGAGUUCAUCCCACGGGACUGCUGUUUUUCAAAUUUGCAUACAGGACCCAAUCAGGGAUGAAAGAGUAAACAAGAUACAAUGGAUUCUGUCAGAAAAGCUGGCAGUAGCCUUGUACUACUGUCUCCAUGGUGAAGUGGAGAAGAGACAAGGAAAAACAAAGAGUCAAUCAAGAAUCCAGACCAACUGGAGAUGUUUAUGU